rnacentral:rRNA from 1 species
UGCCUACGGGCGGCUGCAGUAAGGAAUAUUGGACAAUGGUCGGAAGACUGAUCCAGCCAUGCCGCGUGAAGGACGAAGGCGCUCAGCGUUGUAAACUUCUUUUGGACGGGGAUAAUACUGUCGAUUUAUCGGCAAUUGAAGGUACCGUCAGAAUAAGCACCGGCUAACUCCGUGCCAGCAGCCGCGGUAAUACGGAGGGUGCGAGCGUUAUCCGGAAUCACUGGGUUUAAAGGGUGCGUAGGCGGCGAGGUAGAUCAGUUGUUAAAUCGCUGGGCUCAACCCAUGCAAUUGCGAUUGAUACUGCUGUGCUUGAAACAGGUUGAGAUAAGCGGAAUGUGGCAUGUAGCGGUGAAAUGCAUAGAUAUGCCAUAGAACACCGAUUGCGAAGGCAGCUUGCUGGGCCUUGUUUGACGCUGAGGCACGAAAGCGUGGGGAGCAAACAGGAUUAGAUACCCUUGUAGUCCA